rfam:Oryza sativa (indica cultivar-group) chromosome 3, whole genome shotgun sequence.
GGAUGCGAUCAUAUCAGCACUAAAGCACCGGAUCCCAUCAGAACUCCGAAGUUAAGCGUGCUUGGGCGAGAGUAGUACUAGGAUGGGUGACCUCCUGGGAAGUCCUCGUGUUGCAUCCC